AACGCGAAGAACCUUACCCAGGCUCGAAAUGCAGGUGGCGAUACCAGAGAUGGUAUUUUCCGUAAGGACGCCUGUAUAGGUGCUGCAUGGCUGUCGUCAGCUCGUGCCGUGAGGUGUUGGGUUAAGUCCCGCAACGAGCGCAACCCUUAUCAUUAGUUGCCAACAUUUAAGGUGGGGACUCUAAUGAGACUGCCUGGGUUAACCAGGAGGAAGGUGAGGAUGACGUCAAGUCCGCAUGGCCUUUAUGUCUGGGGCUACACACGUGCUACAAUGGUCGGUACAGAAGGCAGCAAGACCGUAAGGUGGAGCAAAUCCGUAAAACCGAUCUCAGUUCAGAUUGUAGUCUGCAACUCGACUACAUGAAGCUGGAAUUGCUAGUAAUGACGUGUCAGCAACAACGUCGUGAAUACGUUCCCGGGCCUUGUA
rnacentral:rRNA from 1 species